UACAGAGGGGGCGAGCGUUGUUCGGAAUUACUGGGCGUAAAGGGCGCGUAGGCGGCCUGUUAAGUCGGACGUGAAAUCCCCGGGCUCAACCCGGGAACUGCGUCCGGUACUGGCAGGCUCGAAUCCGGGAGAGGGAUGUGGAAUUCCAGGUGUAGCGGUGAAAUGCGUAGAUAUCUGGAGGAACACCGGUGGCGAAGGCGGCAUCCUGGACCGGUAUUGACGCUGAGGCGCGAAAGCCAGGGGAGCAAACGGG
rnacentral:misc_RNA from 1 species